UACGAAGGGGGCUAGCGUUGCUCGGAAUCACUGGGCGUAAAGCGCACGUAGGCGGCUUGUUAAGUCAGGGGUGAAAUCCUGGAGCUCAACUCCAGAACUGCCUUUGAUACUGGCGAGCUUGAGUUCGGGAGAGGUGAGUGGAACUGCGAGUGUAGAGGUGAAAUUCGUAGAUAUCAGGAGGAACACCUGUGGUGUAGACAGCUUACUGGACCACUUCUGACGCUGAGACACGAAAGCGUGGGUAGCAAACAGG
rnacentral:rRNA from 1 species